rnacentral:lncRNA from 1 species
CUCCACUGAGCCUGCUGGUGUAAUUAAAGGUUUUUCUCCACCUUUUUGAGUGACCUUUGGGUUCUCGAGUCUUCAAACUGAGGUAGCUGGGAUGCUGAGCUGUAACACUCAGCUGUGCCUCAGAGCUGUAACGCUUGGGUAUAGCACCGAGCUUUUCUGCUUUGCCUCAAGUCAGUCUGGACAAGAGUCAAGGGCAUGAUCAUGCUGGAUGACAUAAAGGAGUGGACAGACAGCUCUGGAUGGAACUUAGGACAUUGUGCUUGCAACCACAUGUGGUGCCAUUGAGAAGGCCAACACAAUUUUAUCUAAAAGUGUGAUAAGGAAGCUUAGAAGAUGGAGUUUUGAAGUCAUUUCAUGUAGAUGGUCAUUAAAGCCCUGAACAGGUGAACAUGAAAGAGAACAUAGAGGAGAAGAGCCCAGUGAUGGAAAAGGGUUAUUUCAGGAAUCACUCACCUACUCUGGAGUCAAGGAUUAAAAACUAUCACAAUAUCAACCUGUGGAUGGAUUUUAAUAAGG